AGGUCACAAGCCCGAUAGAGCUUUUUUUUUUUAAUUAAAAUUCUAUUCAUUUAUAUUUAACUUAUAACCAUUCUAAUCUCAUUACCCAUAAUAAUCAAUCAAAAUUUAAUUUUGAGUUGAUUGAUAAUUUGCUGAAAAUGCAGGCCAAUUUUGAGCUUUUUUUCUUGAAAUAAUUUAGUAAUGAUUUAGUUAUUUACUUAAGACAACCAAUUUAUCAAAAAAAAAUUGAAGAAUAAUUAAAAUAAUUAAUGAUAUGUUAUUCAAAUUUAUGAAUAUGGACAUUUUGAAACAAUACAAGGUAAAAUGUCUCCUAAUUAAAGUCGGUUCCUAACUUUUUAUGCCAAUUUAUUUUCCGGUGAUGGAGUAGGUAGCUGCCUUCUGAGCCUUUGCAAAGUUCAUUUUAUUUUUAAAUUUAUUAAUAAAUUUUCUUUCAAUAAUAUUGAAAUUAUCAAGAAUUGUUAGGUUGCAUUUUUAAAUCUUAUAAUCAUAUUGAAAAAAAGUUGAUAAUCAA
rnacentral:misc_RNA from 1 species